UACGGAGGAUGCGAGCGUUAUCCGGAUUUAUUGGGUUUAAAGGGUGCGUAGGCGGAUUUAUAAGUCAGUGGUGAAAGACUGUCGCUCAACGAUAGCAUUGCCGUUGAUACUGUAGAUCUUGAGUACACUUGAGGUAGGCGGAAUGUGUAGUGUAGCGGUGAAAUGCUUAGAUAUUACACAGAACACCAAUUGCGAAGGCAGCUUACUAAAUUGUAGCUGACGCUGAGGCACGAAAGCGUGGGGAU
rnacentral:rRNA from 1 species